AUUUAUAGUGUUUCUCGCUAUCUAAUGCUUCAAGUUUUUUUUUUUUUUUUUGUAGGUGAUUUCUAUAGUUGGAAUGUUUUGAUCAAUAGCAAUCAUCAAAGCAUAUUUGAUAUUUGUUGGGAUGAUUUCAAUUAUAUUUUAUUUGACAUGUAUUCAAAUAUGUUGUUUACUUGGGAAUUUUUAAUCUUAUUAAACAAAUGACUAGUUAAAUUAAAUAUGUUAUUAAUUGUCUAAUGUCUUGUUUCCAUUACUAAUUGAAUUUUGUCACUAUUUUUCUUGUUGUGUUGGAACUUAAUUUUACUUGUUUCUACAGGUGUUCCUAGAUGGAGAAAAUUUCAAUUCUCGAUCAUUCUAUAUUUAAUAAAAAUAGAACUUACUUGUUAAGGUGAGACCAUUUUGGGAAAUUGCUUAAAAAAUGAUAAAGAUGAUCUUACGCACUUCAAAAAUGGUCUCAGAGGUUCUAACAACCAGAUUUCAUCAUGGAGAGAGCUCGAUUGUUGUCAAUGGGAGGGAAUUGAUUGUGAAAAUAAAAUAGGAGUUGUUAUUUCAGUUGAUCUUCAUAACCCACAUUCUCCCGAUGAAGCAUAUGAGAAUGAAACUUCUAUGAACUUGAGUGGAGAGAUUAGGCCUUCAUUAAUAGAACUCAAAUCCUUGAGAUAUUUAGAUUUGAGUGGAAACUUAUUUGAGCAUAUUUCAAUUCCUGAAUUCUUUGGAUAGUUAAAGAAUUUAGAAUAUCUAAACCUAUCAAAUUGUGGGUUUAGUGGUGCAAUUCCUCUUAGCUUGGGAAACCUCUCUAAUUUGAAAUUUCUUGAUCUUUCUAGCCAUGAAUCUUUUGAUUUAUUUGUUAAUUUUGAAUCCUAUGAUUUAUAUGUUAAUGAUCUUGAAUGGAUGACUAGUCUUGUUUUACUUUACCAAUAAUGCCAAGUUGUCUCUAGUGUUUUCCUCUGCCUAAUGCUUCUAAGCUUCUCUUGUGGGUGAUUUCUAUAGUUUUGAUAAGCAACAAUCAUCAGACCAUGUUUGAUAUGGAUCUGUGUUCAAGUAUGCCAUCCAUUUGACAUGUUUUAAUCUUAUUAACUUAUGAUUGAUUAAAAUCUAUGUGUUAUUUAAUAUCCAAUAACUUGAAGUUUUGAUUACUUAUCAAAUUUCAUCACUAUUUUGAUUCUUCUUUCGGAACUUAAUAUUAAUUACUUGUUUUUAUAGGUGUUCUUAGAUGGUGAAAAUUUCAAUUCUUGGUUUCCUUUUGGUCAUUCUAUGUUUAAUAACAAGAGAUCUUGCUUGCAAGGGUGAAACCCUUGAGGGAAAUUGCUUAAGAGCUGAUCGAGAAGCUCUUCUUGACUUCAAAAAUGGUCUCAAAGAUUCUUCUGACAACCGGCUUUCAUCAUGGAUAGGAGGCAAUUGUUGUCAAUGGGAGGGAAUUGGUUGUGAAAAUAACACAGGAGUUGUUAUUUCAAUCGAUCUUCAUAACCCAUAUUAUCUUGAAGAAGCAUAUGAAAAUUGGAGUUCAAUGAACUUAAGCGGGGAGAUCCGACCUUCUUUGAUAGAACUCAAAUAUUUGAGGUCUUUAGAUUUGAGUGGCAACUCAUUUGAGCAUAUCCCAAUUCCUAAAUUCUUCGGAUCUUUGAAAAGUUUACAAUAUCUGAACUUAUCAAAUUGUGGAUUCAGAGGUGCAAUUCCUCCAACCUUGGGAAACCUUUCUAAUUUGCAAUUUCUUGAUCUUUCUUCCAUUGAAUCUCAGUUAUUUGUUAAGAACCUUGAAUGGAUGACUAAUCUUGUUUCCUUAAGGCAUCUCAAGUUGAACUAUGUCAACCUAUCAAUGGUAGGAUCUCACUGGAUGGAGGUAUUCAACAAGCUUUCAUUUUUAACAGAGUUGCACCUACAACAGUGUGGGCUCUCUGGUUCAAUUUCAUCUCUAAACUCUAUCAAUUUUACUUCAUUGUCUGUCAUAAGCAUCAGUGGCAACUCUUUUCGGUCAAAGUUCCCAAUAUGGCUUCUAAACAUUAGCAGCCUUGUAUACAUUGAUGUAAGCUCUAGUGAGUUAUAUGGGCAAAUUUCACUUGGCCUUGGGGAACUACCUAACUUGCAGCACUUGGAUCUAUCUUGGAACAGAAAUCUCACAGGUAGUUGCUCUCAACUGUUAAGCGGAAGCUGGAAGAAGAUAGAAUUUCUGAAUUUGGCAAAAAAUAAAUUUCUUGGAAGUUUCUCUGAGUUUCUCGAAGAGAUCAAAAACUGCAGUUCUGAAGGUCCUUUACCAGAACUGGGGUAUUUGGACUUGUCCUCGAAUCAAUUAGUGGGCUGAUUGCCAGAACGGUUGAGUCAGCUGGAAAAACUUACAUAUUUGGAUCUAUCCAGGAACAAGCUUCAAGGCCCUAUCCCUGCUUCUUUUGGGACAUUCAAAAAUCUGAAUGAGAUGCGGCUUGUAUGGAAUGAACUGAAUGGGAGUCUCCCAGUUAGUUUUGGACAACUUUCUGAAGUGGUUGUAUUGGAAGUUUAUGGGAAUCGCUUGACUGGAAUUCUUUCUGAAGAACAUUUUUCAAAGUUAAGUAAGUUGAAGACUCUGUGGAUGGGUGGAAAUUCAGGUCUCGUUUUGAAUGUUAGUUCCACCUGGGUCCCCCCAUUCCAACUCACUGAUCUGGCGAUGGCUUCAUUCAAUUUAGGCCCUUCAUUCCCGACUUGGCUUAGGUCUCAAAAGGAGGUCUCCUAUCUGUAUUUAUUUAAUGCUAGCAUCUCAGGUUCCAUACCCAAGUGGUUUUGGAAUAUUUCUUUCAAUCUGCGGGAAUUAAGUCUUUCUGACAAUCAGUUACAAGGAAUUCUUUCUGAAGAACAUUUUUCAAAGUUGAGUAAGCUGAAGUUUCUGUGGAUAGGUGGAAAUUCAGGUCUCGUUUUGAAUGUUAGUUCCACCUGGGUCCCCCCAUUCCAAAUCACUUUUCUGAGUAUGGCUUCAUGCAAUUUAGGCCCUUCAUUCCCAACUUGGCUUAGAUCUCAAAAGAAGGUCUCCUUUCUGGAUUUGUCAAAUGCUAGCAUCUCAGGUUCCAUACCCAAGUGGUUUUGGAAUAUUUCUUUUAAUCUACAACUGUUGAAUCUUUCCAACAAUCAGUUACAAGGUCAGCUACCAAAUUCAUUAAAUUUUUAUGGUGAAUCAGAGAUUGAUUUCAGUUCCAACCUCUUUGAGGGACUUAUUCCUUUUUCAAUCAAAGGGGUCUAUUUACUAGAUCUCUCACACAAUAAAUUUUUUGGCCCUAUCCCACUGAGCAGAGGUGAAUCUAUGUUAGACUUGAAUUACCUUUUCCUUUCGGAAAAUCAAAUAACAGGGACCAUCCCAGAUUCCAUAGGACAAAUCACCUCUCUUCAAAUCAUUGAUUUUUCAAGGAAUAAUUUGACUGGAAGCAUUCCUUAUACCAUAGGUAAUUGCUCUAGCCUAAUUGUUCUUGACCUUGGAAAUAACAAUUUAUCUGGGAUGCUACCAAAGUCGUUGGGCCAGUUACAAUGGCUCGAAUCAUUGCAUCUGAACGACAACAAGCUUUCAGGAGAGCUCCACUCAUCUUUCCAAAAUUUAUCAAGAUUGGAACUCCUUGAUCUCAGUUAUAACCAGUUAUCGGGUAAGGUUCCUUCAUGGAUUGGAACUGCUUUCAUAAAUCUUGUAAUACUCAACUUGAGGUCAAAUGUAUUUUUUGGAAGACUUCCCUCCCAGCUUUCAAAUUUAAGCUCCCUACAUGUCUUAGACCUUGCACAAAACAAUCUGAUGGGUGAAAUUCCAGUCACUUUGUUUGAGCUUAAAGCCAUGGUUCCGGAGUAUAACAAGAAUAUAUAUCCUUUGUAUGACAAUGUGAGAAACUCUCAGUAUGAAGAACGAUUGGUGGUGAUUAUGAAAGGUCAAAGUCUUGCAUACACCAGGACUCUUUCUUUGGUUGUAGGCAUAGACCUAUCCGACAAUAAUUUAAGUGGAGAGCUUCCCCAAGAAAUAACAAAAUUGUUUGGUUUGGUGGUUUUGAACUUGUCUGGGAAUCACAUCAGUGGCCAAAUUCCUGAAAGCAUUUCAAUGUUGCACCAGUUAUUAUCUCUUGAUUUGUCAAGGAAUAAGCUUUCCGGCAGCAUUCCUUCAAGCAUGGUUUCAUUAACAUUCUUGAGUUAUUUGAAUCUAUCGAAUAAUAAUUUCUCUGGUAAGAUCCCCUUUAUAGGGCAAAUGACAACCUUCAAUGAGUCGGCCUUUGUUGGAAACCCUAAUCUUUGUGGAGCUCCAUUGGUCACAAAAUGCCAAGAUGAAGAUCUAGAUAAAAAGUGUAGUGUUAUUGAGGACAAAAAUGAUGGUGGCUAUAUUGAUCAAUGGUUUUACUUGAGUGUUGGCUUGGGAUUUGCGAUGGGUAUUUUAGUUCCAUAUUUUGUUUUGGCAACAAGGAAAUCUUGGAGUGAGACCUACUUUGAUUUUGUGGAUAAAAUUGUCAAAUGGUUGUUGAGAGGAAUAGCAACCUAUGCCAAAGAUCACCUGCGAAGGUAAUAAAUUUUGUUUGUAGAUCUUUAUAUGCUCUAUGUAUAAUUACAAGCUUUGAAAGUGAAUGUCAUUACAGUUGCAAUAAAAGACAAAAUUUCUCUUUUAAUUUAUUC